rnacentral:rRNA from 2 species
GACAAUUUGACCUCAAAUCAGGUAGGACUACCCGCUGAACUUAAGCAUAUCAAUAAGCGGAGGAAAAGAAACUAACAAGGAUUCCCCUAGUAACUGCGAGUGAAGCGGGAAAAGCUCAAAUUUAAAAUCUGGCGGUCU